UCCUUGAUGGCUCAGAGGUUAAAGCGUCUGCCUACAAUGCAGGAGACCUGGGUUUGAUCCCUGGAUUGGGAA
rnacentral:tRNA from 1 species